rnacentral:rRNA from 1 species
UGGGAGCUUGCUCCCUGAUGUUAGCGGCGGACGGGUGAGUAACACGUGGGUAACCUGCCUGUAAGACUGGGAUAACUCCGGGAAACCGGGGCUAAUACCGGAUGCUUGUUUGAACCGCAUGGUUCAAACAUAAAAGGUGGCUUCGGCUACCACUUACAGAUGGACCCGCGGCGCAUUAGCUAGUUGGUGAGGUAAUGGCUCACCAAGGCAACGAUGCGUAGCCGACCUGAGAGGGUGAUCGGCCACACUGGGACUGAGACACGGCCCAGACUCCUACGGGAGGCAGCAGUAGGGAAUCUUCCGCAAUGGACGAAAGUCUGACGGAGCAACGCCGCGUGAGUGAUGAAGGUUUUCGGAUCGUAAAGCUCUGUUGUUAGGGAAGAACAAGUACCGUUCGAAUAGGGCGGUACCUUGACGGUACCUAACCAGAAAGCCACGGCUAACUACGUGCCAGCAGCCGCGGUAAUACGUAGGUGGCAAGCGUUGUCCGGAAUUAUUGGGCGUAAAGGGCUCGCAGGCGGUUUCUUAAGUCUGAUGUGAAAGCCCCCGGCUCAACCGGGGAGGGUCAUUGGAAACUGGGGAACUUGAGUGCAGAAGAGGAGAGUGGAAUUCCACGUGUAGCGGUGAAAUGCGUAGAGAUGUGGAGGAACACCAGUGGCGAAGGCGACUCUCUGGUCUGUAACUGACGCUGAGGAGCGAAAGCGUGGGGAGCGAACAGGAUUAGAUACCCUGGUAGUCCACGCCGUAAACAAUGAUUGCUAANUGUUAAGGGGGUUUCCGCCCCUUUA